rnacentral:rRNA from 1 species
GGGUUGUGAGGUUAAGCGACUAAGCGUACACGGUGGAUGCCCUGGCAGUCAGAGGCGAUGAAGGACGUGCUAAUCUGCGAUAAGCGUCGGUAAGGUGAUAUGAACCGUUAUAACCGGCGAUUUCCGAAUGGGGAAACCCAGUGUGUUUCGACACACUAUCAUUAACUGAAUCCAUAGGUUAAUGAGGCGAACCGGGGGAACUGAAACAUCUAAGUACCCCGAGGAAAAGAAAUCAACCGAGAUUCCCCCAGUAGCGGCGAGCGAACGGGGAGCAGCCCAGAGCCUGAAUCAGUGUGUGUGUUAGUGGAAGCGUCUGGAAAGGCGCGCGAUACAGGGUGACAGCCCCGUACACAAAAAUGCACAUGCUGUGAGCUCGAUGAGUAGGGCGGGACACGUGGUAUCCUGUCUGAAUAUGGGGGGACCAUCCUCCAAGGCUAAAUACUCCUGACUGACCGAUAGUGAACCAGUACCGUGAGGGAAAGGCGAAAAGAACCCCGGCGAGGGGAGUGAAAAAGAACCUGAAACCGUGUACGUACAAGCAGUGGGAGCACGCUUAGGCGUGUGACUGCGUACCUUUUGUAUAAUGGGUCAGCGACUUAUAUUCUGUAGCAAGGUUAACCGAAUAGGGGAGCCGAAGGGAAACCGAGUCUUAACUGGGCGUUAAGUUGCAGGGUAUAGACCCGAAACCCGGUGAUCUAGCCAUGGGCAGGUUGAAGGUUGGGUAACACUAACUGGAGGACCGAACCGACUAAUGUUGAAAAAUUAGCGGAUGACUUGUGGCUGGGGUGAAAGGCCAAUCAAACCGGGAGAUAGCUGGUUCUCCCGAAAGCUAUUUAGGUAGCGCCUCGUGAAUUCAUCUCCGGGGGUAGAGCACUGUUUCGGCAAGGGGGUCAUCCCGACUUACCAACCCGAUGCAAACUGCGAAUACCGGAGAAUGUUAUCACGGGAGACACACGGCGGGUGCUAACGUCCGUCGUGAAGAGGGAAACAACCCAGACCGCCAGCUAAGGUCCCAAAGUCAUGGUUAAGUGGGAAACGAUGUGGGAAGGCCCAGACAGCCAGGAUGUUGGCUUAGAAGCAGCCAUCAUUUAAAGAAAGCGUAAUAGCUCACUGGUCGAGUCGGCCUGCGCGGAAGAUGUAACGGGGCUAAACCAUGCACCGAAGCUGCGGCAGCGACGCUUAUGCGUUGUUGGGUAGGGGAGCGUUCUGUAAGCCUGCGAAGGUGUGCUGUGAGGCAUGCUGGAGGUAUCAGAAGUGCGAAUGCUGACAUAAGUAACGAUAAAGCGGGUGAAAAGCCCGCUCGCCGGAAGACCAAGGGUUCCUGUCCAACGUUAAUCGGGGCAGGGUGAGUCGACCCCUAAGGCGAGGCCGAAAGGCGUAGUCGAUGGGAAACAGGUUAAUAUUCCUGUACUUGGUGUUACUGCGAAGGGGGGACGGAGAAGGCUAUGUUGGCCGGGCGACGGUUGUCCCGGUUUAAGCGUGUAGGCUGGUUUUCCAGGCAAAUCCGGAAAAUCAAGGCUGAGGCGUGAUGACGAGGCACUACGGUGCUGAAGCAACAAAUGCCCUGCUUCCAGGAAAAGCCUCUAAGCAUCAGGUAACAUCAAAUCGUACCCCAAACCGACACAGGUGGUCAGGUAGAGAAUACCAAGGCGCUUGAGAGAACUCGGGUGAAGGAACUAGGCAAAAUGGUGCCGUAACUUCGGGAGAAGGCACGCUGAUAUGUAGGUGAGGUCCCUCGCGGAUGGAGCUGAAAUCAGUCGAAGAUACCAGCUGGCUGCAACUGUUUAUUAAAAACACAGCACUGUGCAAACACGAAAGUGGACGUAUACGGUGUGACGCCUGCCCGGUGCCGGAAGGUUAAUUGAUGGGGUUAGCGCAAGCGAAGCUCUUGAUCGAAGCCCCGGUAAACGGCGGCCGUAACUAUAACGGUCCUAAGGUAGCGAAAUUCCUUGUCGGGUAAGUUCCGACCUGCACGAAUGGCGUAAUGAUGGCCAGGCUGUCUCCACCCGAGACUCAGUGAAAUUGAACUCGCUGUGAAGAUGCAGUGUACCCGCGGCAAGACGGAAAGACCCCGUGAACCUUUACUAUAGCUUGACACUGAACAUUGAGCCUUGAUGUGUAGGAUAGGUGGGAGGCUUUGAAGUGUGGACGCCAGUCUGCAUGGAGCCGACCUUGAAAUACCACCCUUUAAUGUUUGAUGUUCUAACGUUGACCCGUAAUCCGGGUUGCGGACAGUGUCUGGUGGGUAGUUUGACUGGGGCGGUCUCCUCCUAAAGAGUAACGGAGGAGCACGAAGGUUGGCUAAUCCUGGUCGGACAUCAGGAGGUUAGUGCAAUGGCAUAAGCCAGCUUGACUGCGAGCGUGACGGCGCGAGCAGGUGCGAAAGCAGGUCAUAGUGAUCCGGUGGUUCUGAAUGGAAGGGCCAUCGCUCAACGGAUAAAAGGUACUCCGGGGAUAACAGGCUGAUACCGCCCAAGAGUUCAUAUCGACGGCGGUGUUUGGCACCUCGAUGUCGGCUCAUCACAUCCUGGGGCUGAAGUAGGUCCCAAGGGUAUGGCUGUUCGCCAUUUAAAGUGGUACGCGAGCUGGGUUUAGAACGUCGUGAGACAGUUCGGUCCCUAUCUGCCGUGGGCGCUGGAGAACUGAGGGGGGCUGCUCCUAGUACGAGAGGACCGGAGUGGACGCAUCACUGGUGUUCGGGUUGUCAUGCCAAUGGCACUGCCCGGUAGCUAAAUGCGGAAGAGAUAAGUGCUGAAAGCAUCUAAGCACGAAACUUGCCCCGAGAUGAGUUCUCCCUGACCCUUUAAGGGUCCUGAAGGAACGUUGAAGACGACGACGUUGAUAGGCCGGGUGUGUAAGCGCAGCGAUGCGUUGAGCUAACCGGUACUAAUGAACCGUGAGGCUUAACCUUACAACGCCGAAGCUGUU